GUGAGGAAUAUUGCGCAAUGGAGGCAACUCUGACGCAGCCAUGCCGCGUGCAGGAAGAAGGCGCUACGCGUUGUAAACUGCUUUUAACCGGGAAGAAACCCCAGGACGUGUCCUGGGUUGACGGUACCGGAGGAAUAAGCACCGGCUAACUUCGUGCCAGCAGCCGCGGUAAUACGAAGGGUGCAAGCGUUAUCCGGAUUCAUUGGGUUUAAAGGGUGCGUAGGCGGAGCGUUAAGUCAGUGGUGAAAUCCUGCAGCGUAACUGUAGACUUGCCAUUGAUACUGGCGCUCUUGAGUGCGCUUGAAGUGGGCGGAAUGUGCCGUGUAGCGGUGAAAUGCUUAGAUAUGGCACAGAACACCAAUUGCGAAGGCAGCUCACUAAGGCGAUACUGACGCUGAGGUACGAAAGCGUGGGGAUCGAACAGGAUUAGAUACCCGUGUAGUCC
rnacentral:rRNA from 1 species